rnacentral:rRNA from 1 species
AACGAACGCUGGCGGCAUGCCUAACACAUGCAAGUCGAACGAAGGCUUCGGCCUUAGUGGCGCACGGGUGCGUAACGCGUGGGAAUCUGCCCUUUGCCUCGGAAUAACAGUUAGAAAUGACUGCUAAUACCGGAUGAUGUCGCAAGACCAAAGAUUUAUCGGCAAAGGAUGAGCCCGCGUAGGAUUAGCUAGUUGGUGGGGUAAAGGCCUACCAAGGCGACGAUCCUUAGCUGGUCUGAGAGGAUGAUCAGCCACACUGGGACUGAGACACGGCCCAGACUCCUACGGGAGGCAGCAGUGGGGAAUAUUGGACAAUGGGCGAAAGCCUGAUCCAGCAAUGCCGCGUGAGUGAUGAAGGCCUUAGGGUUGAAAAGCUCUUUUACCCGGGAUGAUAAUGACAGUACCGGGAGAAUAAGCUCCGGCUAACUCCGUG